AGAUCAUUUUAAAGGAGGCUUGUGGGGCUGUGAAAUCAGAAACUCUAACCCUAUCACCAAAGACUGAAGUUCUGCAUAGGAUGCCACAGAACUCAACAGCAAUGUUUUCCUGUUCCUUCCAAGGCAUAGGG
ensembl:snoRNA